UCUGGAACUAGCUGUAGAGUUCAGCUCCAGUCUCAUUUAUUCUAAAGUUUAUUAUAAGGAUCUGGACAGAUUAUGAAAUGGAUGUUUCUCUCAGUCCUGAGAAGGAGGGAGUCCCUGAAGAAGUCCUUCAACAAACUCAGACUCAUCAGCUUUUAGCAGGAGAUGAUCUUUACAGGUGCAGAACUUCCCAAGAGUCUAACUGGACCUGAUGGACACAGUGGUCAGUAGCAGUUGGUGUGCUGUUAGACAGAGUGACCCACCAUGGACUCUGACUUCAAAGAGAUGUGACCGAUCACAAAGCAGUACAGAUAUCACCAAUGAGAUAAAAUGGAAUUUAACACAUAAAUCAUGAAGUAAAUAUGAAUAACUCAGUAAAAAGUAGAUUUCUCUACAUGAGUGGAAAUGAAAGUAUUAUAAUUUCAAAACAAAUCACCUGUAUUUUAGUACAUGGAACUGUUGAGGAAAUAUAACUAGUUAAUAUUCAUCUCUGCUCUUCACUAUACAGCAACACAAAUCCCCCACUGCUCCUGAUACUCCGGGUGUUCCCCAGGGUUCUGUUAUGGGCCCCCCUGUUUUCAUAGUUUAUAUGCAGUCCAAUAGUCAAAUUCAUGGAUUAUGUGUUCAUUGUUACAUUUCUGAUACCCAAAUCUAUAUUAACUCCCUUUCUAACUACCUGCAUCUGUGAUGUUAAGAUUUGGUUAAACUCUAAUUUACUUAAAUUCAACACAAAUAAAACUGAUGUUCUAAUUAUUACCCUAAUACUUGUAUCACCUCCCUCUCUGAAAGUAUGUUGAUAGUGAUGAGUUCAAAUAAAACCCUCACAAACUCUUCA